CAGUCGCCGCGGUAAUACGUAGGGUGCAAGCGUUAAUCGGAAUUACUGGGUGUAAAGGGAGCGCAGGCGGUGCGGCAAGUCUGAUGUGAAAGCCCGGGGCUCAACCCCGGGACUGCAUUGGAAACUGUCGUACUUGAGUAUCGGAGAGGUAAGUGGAAUUCCUAGUGUAGCGGUGAAAUGCGUAGAUAUUAGGAGGAACACCAGUGGCGAAGGCGGCUUACUGGACGAUAACUGACGCUGAGGCUCGAAAGCGUGGGGAGCAAACAGGAUUAGAUACCCGAGUAGUCCCUGUCUCUUAUAC
rnacentral:rRNA from 1 species